GACGAACGCUGGCGGCGUGCUUAACACAUGCAAGUCGAGCGGUAAGGCCCUUUCGGGGGUACACGAGCGGCGAACGGGUGAGUAACACGUGGGUGACCUGCCCUCAGCUCUGGGAUAAGCCUGGGAAACCGGGUCUAAUACUGGAUAUGACUCCAUGACGCAUGUUGUGGGGUGGAAAGCCUUGUGCGGCUGAGGAUGGGCCCGCGGCCUAUCAGCUUGUUGGUGGGGUGANGGCCUACCAAGGCGACGACGGGUAGCCGGCCUGAGAGGGCGACCGGCCACACUGGGACUGAGACACGGCCCAGACUCCUACGGGAGGCAGCAGUGGGGAAUCUUGCGCAAUGGGCGAAGGCCUGACGCAGCGACGCCGCGUGAGGGAUGAC
rnacentral:rRNA from 1 species